rnacentral:snRNA from 1 species
GUGCCCAUGUCUACAGCACAUAUACUAAAAUUGGAAUGAUACAGAGAAGAUUAGCAUGGCCCCUGCACAAGGAUGACACGCAAAUUUGUGAAGCUGCCCAUAUUUUU